rnacentral:rRNA from 1 species
CAGCCCUACGGGGGGCAGCAGUGGGGAAUAUUGCACAAUGGGGGAAACCCUGAUGCAGCAACGCCGCGUGAAGGAAGACGGUUUUCGGAUUGUAAACUUCUGUUCUUAGUGAAGAAGAAUGACGGUAGCUAAGGAGCAAGCCACGGCUAACUACGUGCCAGCAGCCGCGGUAAUACGUAGGUGGCAAGCGUUGUCCGGAAUUACUGGGUGUAAAGGGAGCGUAGGCGGGACUGCAAGUUGGGUGUCAAAUCUACCGGCUCAACCGGUAGCCGCACUCAA